GGAACUUAUUGUGUCUUUGGAAAUCCAAUCAAUUCCUGGUCAUGGUCAUGUAGGCUGUAAUAGCUUGAUUAUGCUUUAAAUUGAUUUCUUCAUCAACUGGCAACAGGAAUCAACCAACUUCUUUUACUAAUGAGUUAAAAUGUUAAAAGAGAAUGGGAAUAUAGUGUUAAAAGUCAUAUAUAUUAUUCAAAUGUGUUCCCUUUUUUCUCAUUUAUAUUAUGCAUAUUUCAAAUUACGGAAGUCUACAAUAUAAAAUCAUUUUUAAAUAAUCGAUGAUAUCUAGUUUUUGAAGCAUUUUUAUGACAUUGCUCUUUUGCUGAGAAGCAUUAUUAUUAUUGUUAUCAUCUUGGAAUCAUAGGUACAAAACCUUGGGAUUUCAUUUAUAGUUCUUUUUGACUCUCCAUUGGAAUUUCAUGCAUAGCUUCUUAGUUCUAUUUUCCUUCUAUUUUAACAUGUUC
rnacentral:misc_RNA from 1 species